rnacentral:rRNA from 1 species
AACGAACGUUAGCGGCGCGCCUAACACAUGCAAGUCGAACGCGACAGGGGCAACUCUGUUGAGUGGCGCACGGGUGAGUAACACGUAGGUAAUCUCCCCCCGAGUGGUGGAUAACCUUCCGAAAGGAGGGCUAAUACAGCAUAAGACCACGGCUUCGAAAGGAGCUGAGGUCAAAGCGGAGGAUCGCAAGACUUCGCGCUUGGGGAUGAGCCUGCGGCCCAUCAGGUAGUUGGCGGGGUAACAGCCCACCAAGCCUAAGACGGGUAGCUGGUCGGAGAGGAUGAGCAGCCACACUGGAACUGAGACACGGUCCAGACUCCUACGGGAGGCAGCAGUGGGGAAUCUUGCGCAAUGGACGAAAGUCUGACGCAGCGACGCCGCGUGGGUGAUGAAGGCCUUCGGGUUGUAAAGCCCUGUGGGGAGGGACGAAUAAGUUUCAGCUAAUACCUGAAGCGAUGACGGUACCUCCUUAGCAAGCACCGGCUAACUCUGUGCCAGCCGCCGCAGUAA